rnacentral:rRNA from 1 species
GAUCACUGGGUGCUUGCACCCUUUGAUUAGCGGCGGACGGGUGAGUAACACGUGGGCAACCUGCCUAUAAGACUGGGAUAACUUCGGGAAACCGGAGCUAAUACCGGAUAAUCCUUCUCCACUCAUGUGGGGAAGUUGAAAGACGGUUUCGGCUGUCACUUAUAGAUGGGCCCGCGGCGCAUUAGCUAGUUGGUGAGGUAACGGCUCACCAAGGCGACGAUGCGUAGCCGACCUGAGAGGGUGAUCGGCCACACUGGGACUGAGACACGGCCCAGACUCCUACGGGAGGCAGCAGUAGGGAAUCUUCCGCAAUGGACGAAAGUCUGACGGAGCAACGCCGCGUGAGCGAUGAAGGCCUUCGGGUCGUAAAGCUCUGUUGUUAGGGAAGAACAAGUACCGGAGUAACUGCCGGUACCUUGACGGUACCUAACCAGAAAGCCACGGCUAACUACGUGCCAGCAGCCGCGGUAAUACGUAGGUGGCAAGCGUUGUCCGGAAUUAUUGGGCGUAAAGCGCGCGCAGGCGGUUCCUUAAGUCUGAUGUGAAAGCCCCCGGCUCAACCGGGGAGGGUCAUUGGAAACUGGGGAACUUGAGUACUGAAGAGGAAAGCGGAAUUCCACGUGUAGCGGUGAAAUGCGUAGAGAUGUGGAGGAACACCAGUGGCGAAGGCGGCUUUCUGGUCAGUAACUGACGCUGAGGCGCGAAAGCGUGGGGAGCAAACAGGAUUAGAUACCCUGGUAGUCCACGCCGUAAACGAUGAGUGCUAAGUGUUAGAGGGUUUCCGCCCUUUAGUGCUGCAGC